UUAGGGCACUGGGAGGACGUGGAGGGAGAUUAACCGAUUCAGAUCUAUCGUUAACAUCUCCUACUGCGGGUGUCUCAGCAAUAUUUUCAUUAUCUUCGUCUAAACUAACCGCAUCUACUUCAUUUUCUUCUUCUAUACCAUAAUUUUCCUGAGCUUCUACAUAAUCCAUAUCGUGAGCACCUACACCUAUUUCUUCCUCAAAAGGUGUACCAAGCAGUACCGGAG
rnacentral:lncRNA from 1 species